rnacentral:snRNA from 1 species
AUACUUACCUGGCAGGGGAGAUACCAUGAUCACGAAGGUGGUUUUCCCAGGGUGAGGCUCAUCCAUUGCACUGCGGGUGUGCUGACCCCUGCGAUUUCCCCAAAUGCGGGAAACUCGACUGCAUAAUUUGUGGUAGU